AAAUAAACCUGAUAGUAGCGUAAAACCCGAAGGUGAGGCACGAACCGAGGCUUUGAAGCGGAUAGCAGGACUUUAA
rnacentral:sRNA from 1 species